CACCGGAGCUUGCUCCACCGGAAAAAGAGGAGUGGCGAACGGGUGAGUAACACGUGGGUAACCUGCCCAUCAGAAGGGGAUAACACUUGGAAACAGGUGCUAAUACCGUAUAACAAUCAAAACCGCAUGGUUUUGAUUUGAAAGGCGCUUUCGGGUGUCGCUGAUGGAUGGACCCGCGGUGCAUUAGCUAGUUGGUGAGGUAACGGCUCACCAAGGCCACGAUGCAUAGCCGACCUGAGAGGGUGAUCGGCCACAUUGGGACUGAGACACGGCCCAAACUCCUACGGGAGGCAGCAGUAGGGAAUCUUCGGCAAUGGACGAAAGUCUGACCGAGCAACGCCGCGUGAGUGAAGAAGGUUUUCGGAUCGUAAAACUCUGUUGUUAGAGAAGAACAAGGAUGAGAGUAACUGUUCAUCCCUUGACGGUAUCUAACCAGAAAGCCACGGCUAACUACGUGCCAGCAGCCGCGGUAAUACGUAGGUGGCAAGCGUUGUCCGGAUUUAUUGGGCGUAAAGCGAGCGCAGGCGGUUUCUUAAGUCUGAUGUGAAAGCCCCCGGCUCA
rnacentral:rRNA from 1 species